UUAGGCCUACGGGACGCAGCAGUAGGGAAUCUUCCACAAUGGGCGAAAGCCUGAUGGAGCAACGCCGCGUGGGUGAAGAAGGUCUUCGGAUCGUAAAACCCUGUUGUUAGAGAAGAAAGUGCGUGAGAGUAACUGUUCACGUUUCGACGGUAUCUAACCAGAAAGCCACGGCUAACUACGUGCCAGCAGCCGCGGUAAUACGUAGGUGGCAAGCGUUAUCCGGAUUUAUUGGGCGUAAAGAGAGCGCAGGCGGUCUUUUUAGUCUGAUGUGAAAGCCUUCGGCUUCACC
rnacentral:rRNA from 1 species